rnacentral:rRNA from 1 species
UACGAAGGGGGCUAGCGUUGUUCGGAAUCACUGGGCGUAAAGGGCGCGUAGGCGGCUUGGCAAGUCGGGUGUGAAAUCCCUUGGCUUAACUAAGGAAUGGCGCUCGAAACUACCUCGCUAGAGGGCGGGAGAGGGAAGUGGAACUCUCGGUGUAGGGGUGAAAUCUGUAGAUAUCGAGAGGAACACCGGUGGCGAAGGCGGCUUCCUGGCCCGCAUCUGACGCUGAGGCGCGAAAGCGUGGGGAGCAAACAGG